rnacentral:rRNA from 1 species
AGGAUGAACGCUGGCGGCGUGCCUAACACAUGCAAGUCGAACGUCCUGUCUCGCAAGAGGCAGGGAGUGGCGGACGGGUGAGUACCACGUGGGUUAUCUACCGUGAGGUGAGGAAUACCGGCGAGAAAUCGCCGACAAGACCGCAUAGCCUCGGUGCAAGCCGAGGAAAGCUUUCUCGAGAGAGGGAGCGCCACACGAGGAGCCUGCGCCCGAUUAGCUAGCUGGUGGAGUAACGGUUCACCAGGGCGACGAUCGGUAGCUGGUCUGAGAGGACGAUCAGCCACACUGGGAUUGAGAACGGCCCAGACUCCUACGGGGGCAGCAGUGAGGAAUUUUCGUCAAUGGGGGCAACCCUGAACGAGCAACGCCGCGUGCAGGAAGAAGGUUUUCGGAUCGUAAACUGCUUUUCUCGGGAAGAGAACGGACGGUACCCGAGGAAUCAGCCCCGGCUAACUACGUGCCAGCAGCCGC